AGUUUCUCCUAUUUAGAACUCAGAGAAAAUAUGCCCUUUGAACUGGAGGCUAGCUAGGAAGCCAUUUUACAACCUCAAAGGAUACUUAGAGCUGCCUGUCACCAUCAGAGACUGUUCUGUGACAGAAGUGGUUGUGUAAACUCAGCCAAUGGUAUUGGGUGCUGCAGAAGUGUGAGCAAGAGAGAUCAAAGCCCAGUCUUGGGUCACUGUCAGUCAAAACUCCACAUGACCAGAGAGGACACAGCAAAGGUAUUAACUAUUAUGGACGGAUGGCUUUUCCCUGGACUUGCACUGGGAUUCCCAAGAAGGAAGGAGCCUCCUCUUGCCUCAAGCAAGGAUGCACAAAUGUCCUCAGACCCUCCGACACCUGGAAGUUCACCGUGCAAGACUAAAGCAGCCAGUGGUUCAGUCUCGGAAAUUCUAAAUAGACUGCUUUUUAAGUUAAAAUAUAAAUUAUCUCAUGAAUAUAAAUGCAGGUUUCCUGCAUCUACUGUCUCCAAGGACGAGGAAGGAAAGAGCUUCCUGGUAUAUCCUCUCCUCGAUGUCGAAGCAAGCCUGAGCCCCCCCGUCAAAGGCCAGAACUCAGGGAGGUUGAUCCUCUGUGUUCCGUCUGUGAGAAAGGACGUGGAAAAAGAAUUCAGAAGUCUAAAACAGCAGCCUGACUAGUCAGGGUCUCCACGGCUGUGAACAGACACCACCAUGACCACAGCAACUCUUACAAAGGAUGACGUUUAAUUAGGGACUAGCUUACAGUUUCAGAGGUUCAGUCCAUUAUCAUCAUGGCAGGAAGCACGGCAGCCUCCAGGCAGACAUGGCGCUGGAGGAGCGCAAAGUUCUACAUCUUGACCUGCAGGCAGCAAGGAGGAAACUGGAUGUGUAUCUCACUGGGUGUACUAGCUUGAGCAUUUAAGACCUCAAAGCCCCACCUCCACAGUGACGUACUUCCUCCAACAAGGCCACACCCACCCCAAUACGGCCACACCCACUCCAACAAGACCACACCCACUCCAAUGAGGCCACAGCUCCUAAUAGUGCCACUCCCUAUGGCCAACCAUUCAAGCACAUGAGGGCCAUACCUAUUCAAACCGCCACAGGUGGUUUAAGCCUUUGUGUGUGUGUGUGUGUGUGUGUGUGUGAGAGAGAGAGAGAGAGAGAGAGAGAGAGAGAGAGAGAGAGAGAGAGAGAGAGAGAGAGAGAGAGAGAGAGAGAGA
ensembl:lncRNA